AGAGUAAUGCAUCACUCCUUAGCCUCACCUAAGGAGGUUGUAGAGAUGAGGCCAAGGCAGGAAACCAGAAGAGUCCCUGAUUCACCAGUUAUUUGUUGACUCCUUACAAACAUGUCAUUCAAGUGGCUAAUCUUACACCAGCACCAGAUUUGUCCUGAAACCAACAGAUCCAGAUCUCUCCUACCAAAUACCAUGAAAUUUAAAGAAACAAAACUUACAAAAUAAAGCAGCAGCAACAACAACAAUGAAAUCUUAAAAGAGUAAAUAUAAGUAUCAAGCAUCAACCCCCCUCUCCAAAUAAUAUCUCUCUUCUUCAAUAAGGUUCCCAGAAAAAUCCCUUCAAAACCUGGUGGUCUGAUACCCUGUGCUACGUAACUUGUGACCCAUCCAUUUGUCAUGUUCUUCGGGAAUGUGGCUGAGGGGCUGAGAUGUGACUUGAAAACAAAGGUAGAGCGAGAUAAUCUCAAAUUGAUUAUCAAGGAGUAGUUCAGACAAUUAGUUCAGACCACAGAGAUAGCAGAACAGGUGGUCUGGCAUGGAUAGAGCAUCAGACAUUCACAGACUGUGCCAACAAGAGCCAUCUACUCAAAACAGCCAAAAGAAGAAGGGUCAUGGAAUGGGUUCUCACAUGAAACUGAUGCCCAGAAGCCCUCGGCAUGAAUAACAAAGGCAACCAGACCCACAAGCCAUACUGAGUUGAUACAAAACUGAUACCUGGGCUGACAUCCCAAACGUGGCAAGUUAGAUGAUGAUGGCACAAAAGACAGAACACCUUGCUUCUGGUCAUUGUCAGCUCUGGGAAGAGAGGAGACUUUUAGAGGAGCAGCUGCAAGGAGCCUGAGAACAAAACUGGAAAUGCCUGUUGUGAAAGCCUUCACAGCUAUUAUUAACAAAAGAAAAUGUGUAUUUGUCAAUGGUGUGCUAGCUAGGUUUUGUCAGUCCAUUCUUAUGCCCAGGAAUGACCUCUUGUGUCGACCGGAUACAGUCAUCAAUGCAACUGUCCAGGUGCAACUGUUCUAUAAAGGGGAAGAGGAGUGGCUUUCCCCUGUAAAGUGGCCCUGUCAAAAUUCUAUAA